AGUAAAGUAUUUUUUUGUUAAUCGGGUGGGGAGGGCAGUGAAUCUAAAAUUACAUAACACUAUAGCGUUGGAAAUACAUGCUUGGGCCCAGGGAGCUUAUAGUCUACUUCUUAGGCUGUGCAGACCACAACAAUGCUCUGAUACUUAAUGUAGCACCUGAAUGGAUGGCGCAAAAGAGUAGUCUGCACCCACCAGUGAUGUAGAUCUCAUGAUCCACCUAAUGUACAACCAGGGAUAAUCAUUCCUCACUCCCUGGCACAAGGUAAGCAAGAGGGAAAGGGGAAUGAAC